GGUGACUCCAAGGUGAUCACGACCCACAGGUUGAGAGAGUCUGCUAUGGACUGACUGGCACCUUGCUGUCUCCGGGAGCGAGCAGGAUGAGGGCAGACCUUUUGCAUAUUCCUUGAAGAAGGCUGGCUUCUUGGGGGAGAAUGUCAUACGUGCACUGUCACCUUUGUCCCAUGGUGACACGGAACCUAGCGGAGGAGUUUAGGACAGGAAGGGAAGGAGACGGACUCUCCAUCUACAGAGGGAACUGGAGGACAUACCCAGGAGGAAACAAAGCGUGACUGGGGCAAGUCUGGGCAGCUCGAAGUAUUUAUUCCCAUCCUCUGUGCUACAAGCAAACUGGCAUCCGAUCAGGCAGUGGGUAGAGUGGUGAAAGCCACCAUCUUGGUGGCUCACGAUGGAAUGUGAUAACCGCCCUCAAAAAUCAGGAAGAUUAGCUCAGUGGUAGAGCGCUUGCCUAGGAAGCGCAAGGCCCUGGGUUCGGUCCCCAGCUCCGAAAAAAAGAACCAAAAAAAAAAAAAAAAUCAGGAAGAAGUCUGCACAGAUAACAUUUAAAAUCAAUCAGAUCGUUCCUUCUAGAAGAGCACCUUGGUUGUACUAAACGCCACCAUCACAGACAUCAGGAAUUCUAGAGAGAACAGCAAGCCACACUUGCCUUUCUCUGUAGCUCAGAGGCAAGCAGGAAGCCACUCCCACUAGACGGGCGAAAUUGUACUAGUAUGAGAUUCUGAAUCUGGCCAGAGUUUGUCUCACAGAAGACAAAGGAGAUGGGAAGAGGUCCUUGUAGGCUGUAGAAAUGAUGGGUGAGGUAAGGACAGUCUGCCUAGGUUUUAUGUUUAGUAAAACAUCAAGCUGUGUAGGGAACCGGCUCAAGAAGCCACAGACGCAUUGGGAGACAGGGUGGAAAUAACACAGAGAAAGGGGGCGUGGCCUAAAGCCGUGCAUGGAGAGUAAAGGAGGGGCUGAAGUGUGGUAGCUGCUUCCUGGAUCCGAACACUUGCUUCUUAUCCUGUGGGACCAACCUUUCCACUCGAUGAAAGCGACGAGGACUAAGUGUCAUGCUAGUUUAUGGAAGGACAUUUUAGGAGUGGGCAGGGCAUCUUGCCUGUCUGGCCAGUGAGACUUGUUCUAAGAGGGGACAGGUAAUUCGUUACCCCCUGAUGUUGCAGGGGUAGCUCACAGAAGAAGCAGUUGGAUAGGAUGACCAGUUAAGUCCUAUGAAGUCUGACUUUCCGUUUUGGAGAUUAAGGAAGACAGGAGUUAGGCAGGGUAGAUGAGGGAGAGCCAUUCUAUCAGAGGGAACUGCAAAUGUGGGUCCUGGACAUUUGGCUUACACUGGGAACAGGGAAAUGGCCAGAAGGGGAGUAAUUAAAGUAAGGCUGGGAAGGGGGGAAGAGAGAGA